GAUGGACGCUGGCGGCGUGCUUAACACAUGCAAGUCGAACGAAGCACUUUAUUUGAUUUCCUUCGGGACUGAUUAUUUUGUGACUGAGUGGCGGACGGGUGAGUAACGCGUGGGUAACCUGCCUUGUACAGGGGGAUAACAGUUGGAAACGGCUGCUAAUACCGCAUAAGCGCACGGCAUCGCAUGAUGCAGUGUGAAAAACUCCGGUGGUAUAAGAUGGACCCGCGUUGGAUUAGCUAGUUGGUGAGGUAACGGCCCACCAAGGCGACGAUCCAUAGCCGACCUGAGAGGGUGGCCGGCCACAUUGGGACUGGGACACGGCCCAAACUCCUACGGGAAGCAGCAGUGGGGAAUAUUGCACAAUGGGCGAAAGCCUGAUGCAGCGACGCCGCGUGAGCGAAGAAGUAUUUCGGUAUGCAAAGCUCUAGCAGCAGGGAAGAUAAUGACGGUACCUGACUAAGAAGCACCGGCUAAAUACGUG
rnacentral:rRNA from 1 species